ACGUAGGUGGCGAGCGUUAUCCGGAAUGAUUGGGCGUAAAGGGUGCGUAGGUGGCAGAUCAAGUCUGGAGUAAAAGGUAUGGGCUCAACCCGUACUUGCUCUGGAAACUGAUCAGCUAGAGAACAGAAGAGGACGGCGGAACUCCAUGUGUAGCGGUAAAAUGCGUAGAUAUAUGGAAGAACACCGGUGGCGAAGGCGGCCGUCUGGUCUGGAUUCUGACACUGAAGCACGAAAGCGUGGGGAGCAAAUAG
rnacentral:rRNA from 1 species